UACGGAGGGUGCAAGCGUUAUCCGGAUUCACUGGGUUUAAAGGGUGCGUAGGAGGACAGGUAAGUCAGUGGUGAAAUCCUAGGGCUUAACCCUAGAACUGCCGUUGAUACUCUCUGUCUUGAAUACCGUGGAGGUGAGCGGAAUAUGUCAUGUAGCGGUGAAAUGCUUAGAUAUGACAUAGAACACCGAUUGCGAAGGCAGCUCACUACACGAACAUUGACUCUGAGGCACGAAAGCCAGGGGAGCGAACGGG
rnacentral:rRNA from 1 species